GAUGAAGAACGUAGCGAAAUGCGAUAAGUAAUGUGAAUUGCAGAAUUCAGUGAAUCAUCGAAUCUUUGAACGCACCUUGCGCCCUUUGGCCAUUCCGAAGGGCAUGCCUGUUUGAGUAUCAUGAACACCUCAACUCUUCAUGGUUUUCCGUGAUGAGCUUGGACUUUGGGGGUCUUGCUGGCCUAUGGUCAGCUCCUCUAAAAUAAAUCAGCUUGCCAGUGUUUGGUGGGUAUCACAGGUGUGAUAACUAUCUACGCUUGUGGUUUUCCACCAGGUAACCUUCAGCAGUGGAGGUUCGCUGGAGCUCACAGAUGUGUCUCUCCUCAGUGAGGACAGCUCUUUGAAUGUUUGAUCUCAAAUCAGGAAGGACUACCCGCUGAACUUAAGCAUAUCAAUAAGCGGAGGA
rnacentral:misc_RNA from 1 species